rnacentral:lncRNA from 1 species
UUAAAGGCUUUCAAGGAUGAGUGGGGUUUACAAUGGCCAUGGAACUUUCUGUCCAGUAGGCUCCUGCUCGCUGCCUUGAAAAAGUAUCCCGGCAGACGACAGUGCCAUGACGGCGAGCAUCCAAGAACACCACAGGAAAGACACAGCUGCGUCCAAAGAGCACAUUCCAAGCUUAUAAAGGCCUGAAACUGGAAAUUUCCUUCCGCUCCCAGAGCCGUCUCCUGAGCAAACAUUUUCAAACAGAGACCUCCAUCCUGUCUUCACUCCGAAUGCGAAAACCUGUCGACAGCCUUCGUAAAAAGACUGUUAGGUAAUUAUCAUCCCCUUGAGCCGGCUAUGAGCUGAAGCAUAUAGCAGAAGAUUCAACCAUUUAGAAAACAAUCCCAAUCAACCUUUCAGGGCUGGGUGUGGCUCACUUGCCUAUGUGCAUGGAGCUCAGAGUUAAGUUCCUAUCGCUGAGAAACAUGAAGUAAAAGAAGCAAGACAAAAACCAAAACCAAAACAAACAAAAAUACCAUCAAGAAUUAAACCAGGACAACCAUCUCUGCUACUGAGGGAGACCUUCCCCUAAUUCUCAGCACCAGGGAAUUUUCCCCUUAAACUUUCCAUCACUUCUGUAAGCUAGUGUUCAAUGGAACGGUACAUAUGUUGUUUUAGCUCAUUGAGUUCGGCUUACUUAGCUCUUUCCACUAAGAUAUGGAAUAAAUCUUUUGGUUUUUAACUGGGA